rnacentral:misc_RNA from 1 species
CCUCCUUAAAAAAUAAUCGCUUAGGAUAGGCGUUCACACGAAUAACUUGCUUUUACCUAAAUCAUUUCUUUACAGAUUUGAGAUUAAGGAGCGUUCUUUAACAUUUUUAUAAGUUCAAUCAAGUCACAUCAUAGUGUCUUUGUUUUUUAAUUUAGAUAUGAAUGAUGUGCAAAUGUCACCAAACCCGUCAUGUUUUAGAACAUAAGUUUGGUGUACAUACUGCAAAGUAAUUUUGGCGAAUGACAAUAGAUACUUGAAGAACAUUAAUCAUUAAGUUGUUUGAUGUAAUAUGGUCAAGUAAUUAAGCGCAUACGGUGGA